AGCUUUAUAGUCAAAAUAUGACAUUAGACUGCAAUUCUAAAAGUGUAAAAUUUACUAAGGCUU
rnacentral:tRNA from 1 species